rnacentral:rRNA from 1 species
AUGGGAACGCGAAGAACCUUACCCACCUUUGACAUGGCAGGAACUUACCAGAGAUGGUUUGGUGCUCGAAAGAGAACCUGCACACAGGUGCUGCAUGGCUGUCGUCAGCUCGUGUCGUGAGAUGUUGGGUUAAGUCCCGCAACGAGCGCAACCCUUGCCAUUAGUUGCUACAUUCAGUUGAGCACUCUAAUGGGACUGCCGGUGACAAACCGGAGGAAGGUGGGGAUGACGUCAAGUCCUCAUGGCCCUUAUAGGUGGGGCUACACACGUCAUACAAUGGCUGGUACAAAGGGUUGCCAACCCGCGAGGGGGAGCUAAUCCCAUAAAGCCAGUCGUAGUCCGGAUCGCAGUCUGCAACUCGACUGCGUGAAGUCGGAAUCGCUAGUAAUCGUGGAUCAGAAUGUCACGGU